rnacentral:misc_RNA from 1 species
CGAUAAUACAAAUGUUUAUUCAAUACUUAAUUCAAUUUAAUUACAUUUAACUUUUUAUAAAUUCCCUUACUUGAUACAACAUUAACUUAACAACUUGAUUCAAUUCAUUUCAAAAUUAAUUCAAUUCUAAAGGCGAUAUUGAGCCUCAAUCCUAUUUAUUGUGCGAUGCUUAGACGAUUUGGCCGACUAUUUCAGCGUUGCGGUACAUGAAGCGCACCAACGUGGUUGGGGCUUCUGCCAUCUUGUCUUGCCGCUACGCGCCUGUCUUCUAUGUGUCGUCGAUUGAGGAGCUUCAGCUAAGACAUUUGCAUCAUUUCUUUUUAUUUUCUUUCUUUUUGAGGGCACUUCUUGAUCGGAAGACCACUAAAUGCUCUGCCGGCUCGCGCCUUGGAGAAUGAAAAGGAACCGCAAUUGAAACGCUACGCACGACUCGAGCAAAUCAGGCAACAUUUCUGGCUGAGGUGGCAAAAGGAGUACAUCUGCGAACUACAAAUACGUACAAAAUGGAAAACAAACAAGGCUAAACUAAAGGUUGGAGACUUGGUGCUCAUAAGUGAAGAUUCCCUGCCGCCGUUAUGCUGGAGUACCGGACGAGUAACCAGGCUAUAUCCAGGGCCAGAUGGGAUUCCUCGUGUUGCUGAUGUUCAGACCACG